UGCCGCCCCAGCCCCCCGGGCCCCUGGGAGCUGAUGGGUGGCCAUGGAUCUGUAUCUCGGCAACUGCCGCAAGGCUGCCAAAGCCGCCGCCACUAAGGCAGCCGCCUGCAGCCGAACUGCAGGCACGGAGCAGUGCGACAACAGCUCGCAAAAAAACCCACUCCAGAGGUCGGAGCAGCUGAUCUAUUGGAUCUUACUCUUGUGGUCAAACUGCCUGUUAUCCCAGGAAGCAAUAAUGUGUUCUACACUACAGAUAUAAGUGAAAAGAAACCUGGUGAUGCCGGGAUUCUUUUUCACAAAGCCGAAGAAUGAGCUUCACAAACACUCAAGCUUUAUCAACCUUCUUAUGAUUUUAACCUGUCUGAUCCUUAUUGUCGACUUUUGGAAACCAGCUAUAAAAGCCUACACACUCCACGUUCAAAAACACACUGUAAGUGAAGAAACACCGUCCAGAGAUGAAAGAAGUGCGGCUACACCACCAGCAGUAAUAAAAGAGAAAUUUUCACUUACCUGAAAGGGAGCCACUCUAGACUUAAAUGCAAGUUAACAGAAUUAACCAUUUGUAAAGGUACCAAGUUUACCAGGAAGUUACUAAGCCCUCACCAUAAGAAGGCAUAUCUGAGAACAGGUGUAUUUCUGGCCAAGAGUAAAACUUUAAUUCUUUUUUUUCUCCUCUCAUAAAACAAUUGAAAAACAAGGAAAUAAGUUGUUUGACACCAAGGCAGGCUAUGACAAUUGUGAGAAUGCAUAUUUCCAACAAUGGCUGUUACACAAAAAUAGACAGGCAGCUUCAGAUCAAGAGCUGUUAACCAAGCACAGGUACGACCAAAGCUCAUUUGUGGAUACAUUGUUUACCCCAGAAAGGUGUAAAAGGACUAGAAAAAACUGAAAGCAGAAUGGAAAAAGUAUUAGACACUAUUUAACCCCCUAGAGUUUUCAAUGUAGAGAGAAGGAAAGGAGAUUAAGAGGUAACAGGGACUGGGAACCUUGGUACCAAGGCUAGGGAGGAGAGUUUCUGCCUGAAAAACUGGAGUCACUAGGAGCCCAAGAGGUAAGCCAAACGGAUAUUUGAAGGAGAAAUCCAAAGUAAAAUUCCCUGAGCUUGGAAAACCCAAGCCCAUAAUAACAGAGGGAAAGAAGGUGUUUUUAUCAUGUUUCAAACUUAAGUUUAAGGAAAUGACGGCAAGGCCCAAAAGGGAGAGUGGCUAUAACUUGAUCUUAUGCUGAUAUAAACAGGUGAUCCUCAACCAACUGUAAUGUUCAUUUAGUUAUUACUCACACACAUUCAGUGUUACCAUGCAGAAGUCAAGUGUAUACCCUGGGAGACAAAGGGAUGAGUUAUAGUUCUUUCUCUUUCUCCUAUACCAAGGGUGAGAGCCAGGUCCCCAUCACUGGACUCUUACAUUCCAUGGAUUAAUGCCAUGAUACGCCAGAAUACACACUGAUCUACCAGUGUCCCAGAGUGGUAGUCUGCAGACCUAUCUGUACAUGAGAGCUCAUACAGGGAUUUGGCAAUUACAAAGAAGCCAGUACCCACGUACUUUUAAAGGAAGUUCAAAUCUACUUCUCUUUUGAAGUCAGUCCCUUAGUUGAUUUCAGCAGUCUUUGAAAACUCAUGUUCCCCAAACUCGUCUGAGUUAUGAACAAUCUCUGUGUAAAAUGCUUUUAAUCACUCUGUUCCACAUUUUGCCACUGCCCCGGCCACAAUAACAGGGAGUCCAGUAACAGGAGUGCAGCAUGGUGAGGUGGUGGAUCAGGUUAGGUCCCUUAAAAACUCUACGUUUCCUGUAAUUCAGAAAAUAAAAAGCAACCCAGAUGGUGGUUUGGGAAUAUGAAAAUAGAUAAUAUCCUCAUGAGGGAAACACUUAGUUUAGCUUCACUUAUGUUUGCACUUUCACUUAGAUAUUUAGACUUGAUUAGUAGGGAAUUAAGGAAGGUUGACCACAUGGCAGAAAAACAGACCAAACUCCGAAUAAAGGAAGACGGCAUUAUGACCACAUUGGAAGAAAACUUAGUCUCUGUAGACAAGCUGAAGAGGAAUGGAAGACAAAGGAAAUGUUACUUGGGGCAAAGAUUAGAGAAGAUGUAAGAAGAGAAGCAAGAGUUAAGGAACAACAUUAAAAAAUUAGAGAAAUAGCUAACCGGAAGGAAGAGUGAGCUUUUAACAUAAACUAUAGGGGCACAAGGAAAACCUGGAGGUGAUGGAAAUGUUUACUUGGAUUGUGGUGAUGGUUUCAUGAAUUUAUACAUAUGUCAAAACUGAACAAAUGAUAUAUUUAAAUAUGUAUGGCUUAUUGGACUUCAGCUAUACUUCAAUAAAGUUGUUU